CGUGUGACGGUAAAUCUGGUUAAGUCCCAGCCCCAUCGAAACCCUCCUCCCGUCCCAAAUUCGCCGGCGCCGCCGCUCCUCCCCUCGCUGGUGCCUCGUCUCCCCCACCUCCGGCGUGUCCCUCCUCCCAUCCGUCGCCCCUCUCUCCGCAACCAGUGCGCCAGAGCAUAUCGUACACCGCCGCCAUCUCCCUUCUCGGAGCACCCCACAUCAAGGGAGGCGCCCCGGCCCGCCUCCUCCCCGGAGCGAUCCACAUCGUGGGAAGCGCGAGAGGACCCGCCUCGACCUCUCGAUCGGCCCUGUGGCCGGCAGAGUCCGCUGGCCUACGAGCUCCACGCGUGUGGGUGGCCUGCGGGUACGACCGAGGCGGCGCGACGGUGUCUUUCCGCGACAUCCGUGACAGCGGACGACAGGAGUGGUGCUGGAGGUCGUGGCGGCGGAGGAAUGGAGGCGCGGUGGACCUGCUGCCGCCGGCAACAUCUCCGGUUCACUGCUGCCGCCCACGACUCCGUCAUGCUCCUGCCGGCCACCUCCCCAAACCCGCUGCAGCCCCGCGUUCGUCAACUAACCACAACAUGGCAUGAUGACGUGGGUGACUGCUGCGAUGGAACGAAGCCCCAUCUGGGCUUGAAAGUCUCUCCUUGCCUGGAUGCCACUCCUGCGUCGGGACAUUGCUGGCUGGCUGGCUGCAGAGCAUGGCGGCCAUGACGGCGACGGCAAAGCGCCCUAGCAGCAGUAGCAGCGGCAGAGGCUGAAGCCGGCGCUCUAGAUGGAGGACCUCCUCCAUGUCUUCGAUCUUCCCCCGUCAAGCUCACACGACAUGGUCUCUUGUAUUCUAGAGAAAAAAAACUAUGUGUGCUUCGGUAAUGAACAUAGUCUGGAACUUUUCAAAUUGAAGAAGCAGCCGCAGAGUUACUACAGAUAAAAGAACAAUGGCGCACAAAUUUGCAGGUGCACGGGCGAGAUGAUGUGAAGAGGCGGAAGGUUGAGUGGCAGGAGUUGCAUAGAUAGACAGCUGGUGUCGACCAUGUGCAGUGGUGCUCUCUUGCCGGUGACGACGACCAGCGAUGCCACCACACUGUGCGCCCUCCUGCUCAGGCCUUCGCGCCACCCGGACCGAGAGGGCACCCCUGCCCCGGCCUAGCUGCAGGACAACACAAGGCUGCCGUUGUUGUUGUAUGCAUUCGUCGACGCACUUCUGCCAUUUGGAGCCGGAGGAGUGGAUGGGUCAGAAAGAUAGGUGGGCAAGUUCUCGGAGCAGUACACCCGCUGGUCCAGCAUCACCUCGGUCACCUUGGUCGUCGUCAAGGUUCUGAAUAAUGGUGCUAAGGUGAAGUUGCAGAGGCAUGCUUCGUGCGUCUUGCAAGCUCCAACUGGUAACGAAGUUGCAGAACAAUGUAGCUGAGAAUAUUUGUACCUGCCUGGUGGAGCUUGAGCUGGUGCUACCGGCAUCCACUACGACCUGCUGCCCAUUCCUUCGUUGACUGGGACGUCUCCUACAGCACCAAGCCCCCCAUCGGCGUGACACAGAAGUUUGCACUAUAUCAGGGUUAUUCAGGAGAAGGACCUAGAUGGUCAUGCUGAGAAGGGCAUACAGCAUAACCAGAAGGUCACCUUCCGUGGAGAAGAUAAUGAAGCGCCUGAUACUGUAAUUGAGACAUUGUCUUCGUCAUCCAGUAGAGAAGAAACACCUGAGGUUCAAAAGAAAGGGCAAUGGUCUCUUCUAUGAGCACACCUUGCCUCUCACUGAACAUCUUUUUGUGUUUCAACUUGAGUCAGAUGCUCUUUGUCUUCAAGAAAGUGCCUGUAUGGUGGUGCUCCAAAGGGCUCUCAGCUUAGAGAACUUGAGCGUAGAGCACAUAUUGUGGUUGCUACACCUGGACGACUUGAUGGUAUUCUGGAGAUGAUGAAGCUGAACGCAUGCUUGGCAUUGGUUUUGAGCCACAAACACGGAAGAUUGUGGAUGAGAUUCCUCGUAGCAGCCAUACUCUAUGAUGUACACUGCCACUUGGCCAAAAGAGGUUACAAAAAUAUCUGGUGAUUUAUUGACAGAUCCUAUCCAGAUCAAUAUUGGAAACAUCGAUGAACUUGCUGCCAACAACACAUC